rnacentral:rRNA from 1 species
CAUUAUAGCCAUACCACCCUGAAUGUGUUGGAUCUCAUCUGAUCUGAUCUUGUAAAGCUAAGGAGGGUCGGACCCCCUUAGUACUUGGAUGGGAGACCACCUUGGAAUACUGGGUACUGUAGGCU